rnacentral:tRNA from 1 species
GUGGAUGUAGCUCAAUGGUAGAGUACUGGAUUGUGAUUCCAGGCGUUGUGGGUUCGAGUCCCAUCAUCCACC